GGCUACGUAGUUGAAUGGAUCAACAAGGGAUUUCUACUCCCUAUUGUGCAGGUUCGAAUCCUGUCGUGGCCACCA
rnacentral:tRNA from 1 species